rnacentral:rRNA from 1 species
GAUGAACGCUGGCGGCGUGCCUAAUACAUGCAAGUCGAGCGAACAGACGAGGAGCUUGCUCCUCUGACGUUAGCGGCGGACGGGUGAGUAACACGUGUAUAACCUACCUAUAAGACUGGGAUAACUUCGGGAAACCGGAGCUAAUACCGGAUAAUAUAUUGAACCGCAUGGUUCAAUAGUGAAAGACGGUUUUGCUGUCACUUAUAGCUGGAUCCACGCCGCAUUAGCUAGUUGGUAAGGUAACGGCUUACCAAGGCAACGAUGCGUAGCCGACCUGAGAGGGUGAUCGGCCACACUGGAACUGAGACACGGUCCAGACUCCUACGGGAGGCAGCAGUAGGGAAUCUUCCGCAAUGGGCGAAAGCCUGACGGAGCAACGCCGCGUGAGUGAUGAAGGUCUUCGGAUCGUAAAACUCUGUUAUUAGGGAAGAACAAAUGUGUAAGUAACUAUGCACGUCUUGACGGUACCUAAUCAGAAAGCAACGGCUAACUACGUG